rnacentral:lncRNA from 1 species
AAGCAAUUUGCUCAUAGCCAUAGCUUUCUUGUGAAAGUAGGAUAUUAACCCAGGUGUCUUGGUGCUGGAGAACAGAACUGGCCAGAGUCCAUCCUGUCUCCCACCGGCAUCCCAUUACGAAAUGAACACAGAAAAGGCAGGUCUGCAAUGCCAACAUCUAGUAUCUAUCCCAAAGACCAGGGAGAAAGGAAGGAAAGAUUCUGGUUCUGUCCUCUUCCCCAAGGCAAGGCUGGCUGCCCUACCAACAGAGGCAAAGAGAAGAGUGUGCAAGGCUGGCUGCCCUCCCAACAGAGGCAAAGAGGAGUGUGUGUUGAAAUAUCCAUUGAAUCCCUGAGACAACUGGAUCCUGGCCCAUUGAAUCAUAAACUCAGCAGAAUCUCACAUCAUAACCCCAAAUGACCUGUUACUCACCAUGUGGCCCAGCUGUCUUCAAACUCACCAGCCUCCUGCCUUAGCCUUCUAAAUGCUUGGAUUACAGGCAUGACCCACCAUAACUGGCUUUGUUUUAGUUUCAGAGAAGAUGAAACUGAUGUGCGUCAAAAAGUAAACUACCCACAUUUUAACUGGGCACAUUCCUGUCAAUCUGAUGAGAAUCUAUUUCAUACCCUGCUUUAGCUGGUAGUCUGUCAAGGAAAUGAGCUGAACAUGUCUGUGUACAGCUUUUGUGCCAUCCCUGGAUGAGCGAGCUGUCUGCCUCUAUGUUCUCCACAAAAUGGAAUAUAGCUGUACACCCAAGCCAAGUUAUGGAGGCUGGGAAGACCUAGAAUGUGGCAUCACUAUUUGGAAACCAUGCCGAUUACCGACCGAGCUCUCAAUGGAAAAAUGCAGUCGGCGUGAACCACGCACGAACACAGCAGAGAAAGAAGAAAACACACACCACGAGGAACCCUAAUAGGACAAUACAUUAUAAGUCACAGUGCUACGGAGAAACCCAGUAGCCACAUGGAAGCAGAGACCAUGCAUAUGCAUCUACUCCGCAGCUCUGUGAAUGUCAGCAGCUCCCACGGACUGGAGAUCCCGUGAGAUCCCGUGAGAUCUCACCCAUAGCCUCAUGGUACAUCCACUUGGUGUGCUGGGAGAGUCAGGAUGAGGACCUGAGAAGAACAGCAGCUUGAACCUGACUUCAUUUAACAGCCCACUGCCCUCUUGCCAAGAACCCAUCACAGACCUUCCCAGAAGAGAGGGAUGAGCCUCACCUAUGAAUAAGUCCUCAGAAACUCAAAUUUGAUUCUAAUGGAUUGUUUUCUCAGAAAGACUGAGCAUGUCCCCCCACAUCUCUGUCAUUUCCCACAGUAGUAACCUCUGCAGAUGCCACAUAGAAAACAAAACAAAACAAAAAAACAUGAGGUUGGUGGGCAGAUAGGCAGGGUAUAAACAAACAGCCUUGUAACCCAGAAGCUGUGUGAUAUACAGUAAACUUCACAACACUGAAAAGAUGUCCUAUCUGUUAAAAUGGGGUAAUAACAACUACCCGAAUGUUUAGGAAUAGAACUUCAAUAAAUGAUACAUUUUAUAGUACAGCAGACCAUCCUGUAAAGGUUUCAUCCUUCACUGUGGUGAUAAAUAUCCCAAACCACAUUGAAAAGCAUUGCAUCUACAUUUAUCUACACUGUAACUGUACUGUAAAUCAUGGGGGAGGGGAGAAUCAUAAAAACACCACCUGUCACCGUGUCAUUAAAGCAAGUUGGAAGUGAUACUUACAGAAACACAGCAAGAGCACCCCCAGUCACACAGUUCAAUCUCUUAGCAAGCGUUUUCUUUCUAGCCCAGUGGUUCUCAGUUUGGAAUUUUUGGCACUGCCUAGAGAUAGUUUUGUUGUUAAAACUGAGAAAAGAGCCGGGCGUGGUGGCACACGCCUUUAAUCCCAGCACUCAGGAGGCAGAGGCAGG